AUGGCAGAUGAUGCUGGUGCAGCGGAAGGGUCCACGGGACAAGGAAUUGGAAACCACAGAGGCUUCGAUGGAGGCUUCAGCAAUAGCACCUGCAACCAAGGCCACUGAGGCAAAGCCAAGGGGUGGAUGCCAGUCACAAAGCUGUGCUGCUUGGUGAAGGACAUGAAGACCAAGUCCCUGGAGGAGAUCUAUCUCUUCUCCUGCCCAUCAAGGAGUCUGAGGUCCUUGACAUUUUCCUGGGGGCAUCUCUCAAGAAUGAGGUUUCAAAGAUUACAUGGCGCAAAAGUGGCCCACACUGGCCAACGCACUGGAUUCAAGGCAUGUUGCCACUGGGGACUACAAUGGCCACACUGAUACGGGUAUCAGGUGCUCCAAGGAGGUAGCCACUGCCAUUUGAGGAGCCAUUAUCCUGGCCAAGCUCUCCAUUGUCCUUGUGCCAAGAGGCUACUUGGGGAACAAGAUCGGCAAGCUCACCAGCCCUUGCAGGGUGACAGACCCUCUCUGUGCUGGUGAGACUUAUCCCCACCUCAGGAGGCACUGGUAUCAUCUCAGCCCCAUGCCCAAGAAGCUGCUGCUGAUGGUGGGUAUUGACAAUUGCUAUACCUCGACCAAGAGGCUGCAUUGCCACCCUGGGCAACUAUGCCAAGGCCACCUUUGAUGCCAUCUCC
rnacentral:lncRNA from 1 species